GAAUAAAGUAUUAAAGUUCAAAACAAAACCACAACAGUGCUGGGCUGAUCUAAAAAUAAAACAUGGGAUACUUAAAGGGUUUGAGAAGCCCGCAAAAACAAAAAUAGAAAAUGAAGCCUAAAUGAAUGCAGAAAUAGAAUCGUCAUUUCCCAGUCAAAUCAAACAGUCUGGCCUCCAUUAUUUUCCAACUUUUCAUUUCAUAAACGCUAGGCUUUUCAGAUGAUAGCAAUUUCAAAGAAAUCUUAUGCUUUAGCUAUCUUUUUCCGUUUCAUUUCCUCUUCAUCAACUUCCUUCAAUCAGAAUUUUGUGGCCAUCUCCCUCUUAGAUCCGGUGUUCUUCUCUCGUCUCUCCCACCAGGUAUCUUUCUUCCCCUUUUCUUAAUGCCUCUUUCGUUAGGUAUGUGCUUCAACGUUCUCUGUUCUUUGGAUGAAUCGAAAAACAUUUUUUUUGGAAUCGGGUUUUGUUGCUCUGAAUAUCAUCAAUAAUUGCUCCUAGAAUCGAUUUAUCUCUAGCUUUUGUUUUGCAUUUGUUGAUUAUUGUUUUCGAAUCCCCCAUCAUCGUGACUGAGUUUAAGCCCAUGCUUAUGCCUAAUUUGGUUGCCUCUAAACAUGCUAAUGCUUCUGCUACAAAUGGAGAGGAAACGUUGGAGUGAAGAGUAGACUUUGAGACUGUGAUUUCCCCAUUCUGACCUCGGGCUACCAUUCCUGACGCUGAUCUAGAGUUGUUGAUAUCAAAAGCUGCAUCAAACUGUAUAGACUCCCGUAGCUCCACCUCUCUUUGUUCGGAUCUAACGGCCGUAGAGGUAAGUUUUCUUUCUCGCACUCCUUCAAGCUCUAUUAGAUAACUCUGUAUUUUAAAAGCUAGAUCCCUUCCUGAUGUAUACUUCCUCUUGUGGAUCAUUUGAUUUCUCGAGCUCCAGAUAACCCAUAAGGCACAAAAAAAUACUCAGAUCUACUCCUUUGUACCUCUGCUGAAUACCCAGGUGAGCCAUGCCCAUACACUCUGAUCUGCAUGUUCUGUUACCCAUGACAUAUUGAGACUGAUCUAUGCAUCCGUGCUUAUAGGACAUUGCCUAAACACAUGGAAGCUAUCUUCUUCUGCAGAACAGUAUCGUGGACACCUUACAUUAGUGGUCACUCUCUUAUAUCUGAUAUUAACUAGUGAAGGGAUGUAGUUCCAGGAAAUUCGCCAUAUGAGAAUUAGGAUUUUUGUUAGUAAUUGUAAAUUCCAUAAUUUUCUGUAGAAAUCUUUAGUUUCGACCUGUAUUAAAUAGUUAUAAUGAUCCAAGCUAGCUUCUUAUAAUAGUUUGUAGGCACUUCUAACUGUAAAUUCUCCGGAGAGUUCCCCUUUCCACACUUUCAUGUCUUCACAAUCCGUUUUCGCAAGAGGAAUUUGCAGUAUUUUUUGAGAAAUUUCCUUUUGAAAGGUAGUCGAAAUUAACUUUCUUCCACUUCUUGUUUAUGUUAUCAAUAAGAUCAGAAACCACAGCUAACUAACCAUUGUCUCUUUUAUUUUGCCACAUCUCAAGUUCCAUCCCUAGUAUCCAACGAUCAUCCCAUAUAGAUAUUGCGUCUCCUCUCUCGACUCUCCAGAUGAGACCAUCAAGAAGGAGUCCUUUCACUGCCCAAAUACUUCUCUAGGUAAGAGAUGGUAAGUUUCCCAACUGUGAAUUUAGGAAACUGGAUCUUGGGUAAUAUUUAGCUUUAAGUACUCUGGCUAAAAGUGAAUUUGGGUUAUUAAACAAUCGCCAACCCUGCUUGGCUAACAAUGCGAUAUUAAACUUAUUAAAAUUACGAAAACCCAACCCGUCGUUUUCCUUUAAAUAGCAAAGGUUUUUCCAAGAGCACCAAUAGAUUCCCUUUUUUCCUUGAUUCUUUUGCCACCAAUAUCUCGCAACAAUACUCUCCAUUUCUUCACAUAGUGACUUCGGAAGUAGAAAACAAACCAUUGAGUAUGUCGGUAUGGCUUGUAGCACUGCCUUUAUGAAUAUCUCUUUUCCACCUUGCGAUAAAAAACGAGUACUCCAAUUUUCUAUCUGUUGUUCCAAUCUGUCUUUUAAGGCUUGAAAAGAUUGCUUCUUUUUUCGACCUACCAUGUUUGGCAAGCCCAAGUAUCUUUCUGGCUCAUUUGAACUUCGAACUCCCAAUAAAUUGACGAUUAGAUGUCUUUCCUCUUCAAUUAUAUUUUUGCUAAAGAAGACGGUCGAUUUGGAAAAAUUCACACAUUGACCCGAACAUCUUUUAUACCCGCUAAGAAUUUCCUUGAGUACAAAGGCUCCUUUCCUCGAUGCUUCUCCAAAUAAAAUGCAAUCAUCCGUAAAUAGUAAAUGUGUUACCUGUGGACCACUUCUGGUUGCCUUGACUCCCUUUAGAAGACCUUCUCUAGCGUUUAUUCUCAUUAGACUAGAUAGUCCUUCUCCACAUAUUAAGAAGAGAAACGGGCUCAAAGGAUCGCCUUGUCGAAGCCCUCUUGUUGGACGGAAAGUUCUUCCAACACUUACAUUGAGCACUACUUGAUAAGAAACUGUAGACAUGAAAUUCAUGAUAGAGGUGACCCAUUUUUGAUCAAAUCCCAUCCGCAGCAUUGUUUCCUUAAUAAAUCUCCAUUCAACUCUGUCAUAAGCUUUGCUUAUGUCAAGCUUAACCGCCAUGUAUCCCUUUUUCCCCAUUCUUUUUUGUUUAAGUGUGUGCAAUAACUCAUAAGCGAGCAAAAUAUUAUCUGAGAUUAAUUUACCUGGUACGAAGGCACUUUGCGCACUGUCAAUGCAUUUGUCUAUGACACCUCUAAAUCUGUUUGCUAUUGCUUUAGUCAUGAUUUUAUAAAUAACAUUGCAUAAGCUAAUAGGCCUAAAAUGGGUCAUAUUAGAGGGGUUUUUGAUUUUUGGGAUAAGAACAAUAUAAGUUGAGUUAAUUUGACUGACCUCCAUUUCUCCAUUGAUGAGGUGUAGGCAAAAAGCAGCCACCUCAUCUCCUAUAAAGUGCUAACAUUUCUGGUAAAAAAGAGCAGGGAAUCCAUCUUUGCGAGGUGCCUUCGUGGGAUGCAUUUCAAAUAAGGCCUCUCUCACUUCUUCUUUUGUAUAAUUCGCUAUAAGUUUCCUGUUAUCGUCCUCUGAGAUACACCGAUCAAUUCCCGAGAGUAGACGUUCAUAAUUCAUUUGAUUUUCUAAAGAGAACAGAUUUUGAAAAUAGAAUUGUACAAUACCUUUCAUCUCCUGAAUAUCAUUCGUUUCCUGCCCGCUGCUGUUUUGUAGCUUGCUUAUCAAAUUCUUCUUUCUUCUUUGUGUUACUUGACUGUGAAAAAAGGCUGUAUUCCUGUUUCCAAGUUUUAGCCAAUUUAGUCUAGCUCGGUGUUCCCAAUAAGUUUAAUCUUUUUCAAUUUCGAAGUUAAGCUGGAUCUUUGUGUCAAUCAUCUCAGCUAGAUUAGAAUUAUCCCUUUCAGCUUCAAUCAAUGUUGAUAGUUUGGCUGUGAGAAAUUCUUUUCUCCCCUGUUUAUUUCUUUGCACCUGUUUCGCCCAGUUUACAAACCCUUUCUUAAAAGUUUCCAUUUUCUUCAGAAAUUCUCCAGACACCAUCCCCCAUAAAUGUUUAGCUUCAUCGAAAAAUGAGUCUUCCACGAUCCAUGAGGCUUCAAAUUUGAAUUGAUUUGCUUUUUCCCAUUGGUCUUCCUUAUUUGUGUUGACGAAAAUAGGACAAUAAUCAAAAAAAGAGUGUACAAGUGUUCAACUCAUACCGCAGGAAACAUGGAAAUCCAAUUCUUAUUAGCGACACCCCUAUCCAGACGCUCUUGAAUGUUCGUUUCUGGUAAGUUUCCUCUCUCCUAAGUGAACCAUCUACCAGAGUAUCCCACAUUGGAUAGUUGGCAAAAAUCUAAAGCUUCUCGGAACAACUCCAUUCUUCUUUCAUCUCUUGGCAAGCCUCUCUUUUUUUUUUCGAAUUCAUACAUUAUUUCAUUAAAAUCUCCACAGACAAGCCAAGGGGUGUAUUCCUUUUUAUGGAGAUUUUUCAAAACAGUCCAUAAAGCUUCUCUAUCUUGCGCAUAUGGAGUUCUAUAAAAGCCAGUAAAGCGCCAUUUGACAUCUCUUUCAUCAUCAUCCACCACCAUGUCAAUGUGUCUUUUAGAGAAAUUCUAAAGCGUAACAUUGAUAUUAUUUUGCCAUGCUAGACACAAACCUUCUCUAGAGCCCUUCGAAUCAACAUCAAUUCCAUUCCCAAAUCCACAUCUUCGUCUAAUUCUUUCCAUUCGGUUUCUGCAAAGCUUAGUAUCCAUAAAGAAGACAAUUUGGGGAUUAUAAGUCCUCAGCGUAUGCUGAAGCCUUCGAACUAUCCGUAGACUCCCCAAUCCACGGACAUUCUAACUCAGUAUUUUUAUUGCUUCCGGUCGGCUUGCCAUUUGGUAGCCGCCGAUGAUAAAUGAUUAGGAUCCACCAUUCUCCAAUUUGCCAAUAUGUUUCUCAUUUCUUCUCUCCCUGUUAUAUCUUCAUUUUCCCCUCUAGGCCUUUUCGUCCCCUUUUUCCCUACUAGAGCUACAUCUUCUAGAUCCCUGAUCCAUUACAUUAGGGGUUAAAUUCUCCUUUCCUCGUACCGCGUAUAAUGAACCUCCCUCCAAAUUAAAGCCAAGAACUGGAUCAACAGAUUUCCCAUAUUUUAUUUUUCACCCCGGGUGCUUCUGGCCCAUUUUGAGACCUCCAAAUUCUGCAUCAGUUCCUCUGUUAUCGCCAUCUCCUUCCUCCCUUAGCUAGAUAUUGUUUAUUGAUAAUGACUUCCGUGAUUGUGCUCGGAUAGAUAAGUCCUAGCCCAUUUCUGCAAUUUCCAUUCCAAGGUUCAUUUUUGCCUCGCAAAAAAAGUCAUUAUGCUCCAGUCUUCCACAAUAGAAACAGAACAAAGAUAAACGUUCAUAUUUAAAGGUGACAUAUGAACAUUUUCCACCAAAUGAUAUUUUCUUCCUCCUUUUCAAAGGACGCCUUAUGUCGAUUUGAACUCUAAUUCUCAUAAAGUUCUUGUUUUCUUUUCCCAAAUAUGAUACAUCAUGUUCUAUGAAAUUCCCCAAGAAAUUACCUAACUGGGCAGCCAGGAUUUCAGAAAAAAGGCCAAUAGGGACAUCAUGAACCUAAACCCAAAAAGGUAUCAGAACUAGAGGGAGUUGUAGUGGAUCCUCCCCUAAUUCCAAUUUGUAAAGCACCAGCAGAUGGUUAUUAAUGGUCCAAGGCGAACAUUUCAAAACCCUGUUCAUAUCCAUGACAUGAAAGAACUGAAACAAAUACCUUUUUUCUCCCAGAUCACAGAUUCGUACUCCCUUAACCGGAUGCUACAGAUUCGCCAUUGUACUUUUCAUUGCUGGGAAGUGGAUCGUGCUUGCUGUGAGAAAACAUCCUACUAGUUGAGUGGUCUCACCCCUAUUUUCCGUGCUUGGAUCUGUUGGGAUGUGAAUAAUUUCCUCAUCUUCAUCAUUAAUCGACAAUUGGGCUAACUCAUUCUCCAUACUUUGCAGGUAAAAGUUUUUUCAGCUUUUGUGGUUUCACAAUUCCUGUUGCAAGAGAAGGACUUACACAGGCCACAGAUAACAAAGGGGAAAGUAUUAAGGAAAAAACAAAUAAUGAAAAAACUUAAAAACUCUUGCUAGUGGCAGCAGACAAAGGUGUGCUAGGGUAGCAGACUUUUUUUACUUGUGAAUUUGAUAAUGUUUUAUAUUUCAUAUAAUGUUUUUAUAAUUUUUUUAACUUAUAUAACUAAUAUAUAAUAUGUUUUGAAAAUUUUAAAUUUAAUAAUUUUUAUAAUUUUUUAUUUAUUGAAUUUAUAUUUUUUAAAAUGGAUGCCACAUUAUUAAUCGUCAUGUAUAAAGGAAUACCACAUAAUGCAUUCUCAUUGGUUGGGUGUGUCACCUAUCAUUUUUAACACCAUUAACCUCUUUGAACUAAGAUUGUGUUUAGCAAUGCUUAAAAAAAACACUUUUGGCUUAAAAAGUACUUUUGGAAGAAAAUUUAUGUUAAACAAGUAACUUUUGGCCCAAAGGAGUGGCUUUUCAAAAACAUUUUUACUCAAAAGCUAAAUUUUUUAGCUUUUCUUGAGCCAAAAGCACUUCUUGAAACAUUAUUACUUUUUCAUCUCUCUAUUUUUCUUCCCUUAUUUUUCAUUCACUUUAAAUUACAAAUGCUAAUGUAAAUGUUUUAAUGUUUAUAUUUGGUAUAUAAAUAUUAUCCAUUUUUGAAACUUUAAUCUAAAUAUAUGUAAUAUUUUAAUUUGUUAGGUUUUUGUUUUCUAUGUUAUGUUAAUAUUUAAUAUGGGUUAUAUAUUCAAAUUACAUUUUAAAAUAAAAUCAUUAAUUAAAAAAAGUAUUUCUCGAAAUAAUACAAAUGUGUUAAUAUCUUUUUCUUUUUCUUUUUAUUGAAAGAUUAGGCUUUAUUGAUAAAAGAAAUAAAAAAAACAAUGGAAAAGAACUGGCCCAAUCUCAUCGAGCCCAAAACUAAAGAAGCAACAAAAAUCCAAAAACAAACAAAAAGAAACAAACUAGCCUAGCCAAAUAGGAAAAGACCAUCACAAUCCCCUUAAAUGUCGUUUCAAUAACUGAUGAUUUCCUAACCCCCAUUUUGCAGAUAUUUAGAAGUUACAAAAGAAGUUUUCAUCCUUUCUCCUUUCUCCAAGGUUGGAAAAAUUUGCUUCCGAUCCUCCUCAGUCCGACUCUCGCACCCAUUCAACUUCCAUUGUUCUCUUCGCAUAACUCGGGACAACAUCUUCCAAGUAAAAGCUCUCACCAGAUCUCAAACUCUCAUUUGCUAAAAGAUGGGCUAACUAAUUUUCAAAAUGAUUUGCAUGUUUAAGCCUAAUAAAAGUAAAACUGUUUAGCUUCUGUUUGAUGUUUCGGAUGUAGGUGUUUAUUUCAGAUCUAUCAUGUAUAUCGUUGUUGCAUUUCUUGAUGAUUGUAAAUGAGUCUCCCUUUAUAACUGCUUCUGUUAACCCUAUUUCUAAACUCGUUUGUAUUGCCCAUGAACACGCGAGCGCCUCGGUUGCAAAAAUUGUUCCAACAUCGACAUGUAGGAUCGAUCGAGAUACUAAAACUUUGCCUAGAGCAUUCUUAACUACAAUUCCCGAUCUUGAUCUAGAAUGAACCUAAUCAAAGGCCGUGUCAAAAUUUAUUUUAAUUCUCGCUCUUACAGGCGAUUCCCAUUUUCUUUCCUCACCUUUCCUCAUUGAUCUCCAAUUUUCUUAUGUAGGAAGAAAUAGAAUUGGCAAUCUCCCUACUUGUUUCACUGACUUUUUCGUGCACUUCUUGUUUCUCUCUGUCCACAG
rnacentral:lncRNA from 1 species